GAUUAAGUUAUUAAGGGCGCACGGUGGAUGCCUUGGCACUAGAAGCCGAUGAAGGACGUUACUAACGACGAUAUGCUUUGGGGAGCUGUAAGUAAGCUUUGAUCCAGAGAUUUCCGAAUGGGGAAACCCAGCAUGAGUUAUGUCAUGUUAUCGAUAUGUGAAUACAUAGCAUAUCAGAAGGCACACCCGGAGAACUGAAACAUCUUAGUACCCGGAGGAAGAGAAAGAAAAUUCGAUUCCCUUAGUAGCGGCGAGCGAAACGGGAAGAGCCCAAACCAACAAGCUUGCUUGUUGGGGUUGUAGGACACUCUAUACGGAGUUACAAAGGACGACAUUAGACGAAUCAUCUGGAAAGAUGAAUCAAAGAAGGUAAUAAUCCUGUAGUCGAAAAUGUUGUCUCUCUUGAGUGGAUCCUGAGUACGACGGAGCACGUGAAAUUCCGUCGGAAUCUGGGAGGACCAUCUCCUAAGGCUAAAUACUCUCUAGUGACCGAUAGUGAACCAGUACCGUGAGGGAAAGGUGAAAAGCACCCCGGAAGGGGAGUGAAAUAGAACCUGAAACCGUGUGCUUACAAGUAGUCAGAGCCCGUUAAUGGGUGAUGGCGUGCCUUUUGUAGAAUGAACCGGCGAGUUACGAUUUGAUGCAAGGUUAAGCAGUAAAUGUGGAGCCGUAGCGAAAGCGAGUCUGAAUAGGGCG
rnacentral:rRNA from 2 species